CCUACGGGGGGCAGCAGUGAGGAAUAUUGGUCAAUGGCCGGAAGGCUGAACCAGCCAUGCCGCGUGAAGGUCAGUGCCCUAUGGGCGUUAAACUUCUUUUGUGCGUGAGCAAUAAUGGUCACGUGUGGCCAGACGAGAGUACCGUACGAAUAAGCAUCGGCUAACUCCGUGCCAGCAGCCGCGGUUAUACGGGGGAUGCAAGCGUUAUCCGGAAUUAUUGGGUUUAAGGGGUGCGUAGGCUGUGAGGUAAGUCAGCGGUGAAAUGCCCCCGCCCAACGGGGUGAAGUGCCAUUGAUACUGCCGUGCUGGAAUGCGGAUGCCGUGGGAGGAAUGUGUGGUGUAGCGGUGAAAUGCAUAGAUAUCACACAGAACACCGAUUGCGAAGGCAUCUCACGAAUCCGCGAUUGACGCUGAUGCACGAAAGCGUGGGUAUCAAACAGGAUUAGAUACCCCAGUAGUC
rnacentral:rRNA from 1 species